ensembl:processed_transcript Gm26871 predicted gene, 26871
CCAGCCCACCAGCUGGCCACUAAAAGCUCCCGGUUGCCAAGAAGUGUGAGCGAGUAAUUUUGCUGGAUGUCCACGUAUUUCAGUUGAGCCAUUUGAAGACAUUAGGAGUGGGGUUAUUGAAGCCCUCCCUUGCUCUAGGACAAUGCAAGCCUGCCUCUGUGUUCACCACAGGUGCCUUUGAGUCCUGGCCCACGCGCAGUGCUCUGACUGACAUGGCUGGCUUCGUGUAUCCAGAGAAGAAAUGAGCUGGACCCUCCCCCAACACUCUGGACCCCAGAUAAAAGCAACAGCUUCUGGAAUGAGCAAGUGGACACUCUGGUCUCCAAGGAGCUAUUUUAUCUGCUUAGAAAAAUAUAUAAAAUUAUUGUUGUAAGAAACAAAUUAUGUCUAUCUCUGUAGGGGCUAAUAUUCCAAGAUGACUCCACUUCAACACCUCAAUAAUGACAUGGCCAAUGCAGUUAAUAAUUACUAACCUCUUGAAAUGUUAUUAAUGAAUAUGAAAUAUGUAAAAUGUAUAUUUUAAU